UGUCAAAGUGGUUAUUAUUGUCAUCAAUAAUCCCUUUAUCAUCCUCAAGUGUGUAAACUACUUGUUCCACCAUGAUUACACCCAUAGCAGGGACACAGUUGAGAAUGAGAAUGGGAAACUUCCAUCAAUGGAAUAGCUAUCUCUGUCAUCUAUAAGCAAGAUACUUCCGAACAUCAAAUUUGGUACUUAUACUUCUGAGUAUGCUAUAGAGAAUACUAGUGCCUUCAUUACAAUGAAGAAGAUUGAGGUCCAUUGGUAGAGUGAGUCUAAAGGGGGCAUCAUCUCUGCUCCUGCUGUUUAUGAUGAAUGUGAACACUAAAAUAAUGAAAGCUCAUUCAAGAUUUUGUGGGAUUCCUCCUGAUUCUCAAACUACAUAGCCACCCUGGCCAAAGGACUCAUGACUACCACUCAUGCCAUUACCACCACCCAGAAAAGUGUAAAUAGCCUCUCUGGGAAAUUUUGGCCAUAGGUGCCCAAAAAUGCCCAAAACAGCAUUUUUACACCCACUGGCACUGCUAAGAUUGUGAACAAGUCCAUCCUAGAGUUAAACAGAAGGCUUAUUGGCAUGGCCUUCUACACUCCUGAUUUCAGUAUGGCCAUUGUGGAUCUGAUCUGCCCCUGGAGAAAGUUACCAAAUAUGAUGACAUCAAAUAGA
rnacentral:lncRNA from 1 species